AGUGGCAACAUUUUUGACUCCUAUGAAUAAAGGACCUGUCUUUUAAUGUCAAAUCUAGCCUUUAUUUAACAACAUAAGCAAACUCUAUGUUACAAUGAUUGCACAGCCAUUAAGGAUCAAAUCAAUGUUCUGUUUUUUCUCCCUCUGCUUGCUUCUUACUGUCUUUGAGGCUCGGGACCAGCACUCCUGCUGUUGGACAGAAAGACAUCAACUUGAGAUAUGACUGCACUAUGCUGUUGCUGGUGACCACAGUUAAUUCUACAAGACAUGCUGUGACACCAGGAGGGAUGAGUCCUCCGUCACAGAUGGUGUGGUCAGUGAAGAUGGUCGCCUGCAGGUUCAAGCUCAUUGCAUCUCCAACCCACAUCCACUGCCACUGUACUUAAGGGAAGUUAAAAACUUUCUUCUGCACCUACAUUUGGAUCACCUCGAUCCAUGACAGUCAUUCAGGCAGUAAUGCCUGGACUGGAAACAAGCAUCCUUAAAAUAAUACAACAUUCCAGCUCAUGUGUUGGAAUGGAAAACAAAUGUGUUGUUUAAAUUAGAGACUGCACUUGUGACAGAACAAUAAAUAUUUUAUUUUGAUUAUGUAAGUAAUGUAAGUACAAAACAAACUGUGGUAGACCUAAACUUAUUUUCAGGAUAAUUACAUCUGAGACUUUGUUUCAUUGUAAGAUUAUAACAGUGAUGGCAAUAUAAUUGUUUGUUGUUCAGCAGAACAGUGUCCAGUAUGUUGGCUGUUGUACUUUGUUGUGUUUGAAAAUAAAAGUUGGGCUGAUUUUAACAUCAUUACAAAAAGUGUUGUUAAUUAUUUUUAAUCAUAUUCAGGUUACCACAAAUUGUUUUUUCAUUUAGUUGAACUUGAAAUGUUUGUCAGUAGGUAAACAAUUAGUAUUGUACAGUCAGAAAUAUCAAGUUAUUCUUAAUACUGCAGACUUGCAAUGUAUAAGUUGUCCUAACAGUCAUCUCAAGUAAGCUUUACUUAGUUUUUUUGAGGCAACGAGUUUCCUCAAUUUUUUUGAGUUCUGGGAACUGACACGGCUGUACAGUGUACUCAAAAUGAGUAAGUUGCCCUA
rnacentral:lncRNA from 1 species